UUCUGUAACAGAACAAGAUGAGGACCUGAGGAUUUAAAAUGCUGUACUGUCUUGGUGAGUGCCUGAGAAGCAAAUGCUUCUGCAUACCAUAGUGAAGGAGACUGUUCCUGAAGGAGGAUUUCCCUUUACCUCACAGAAUGAAGUAUAGUUGAAGGUGAGGUAGGAAUGUUCCCCUAUGUGUUAGCAUUCCCAGGAACUGAUGUACUUCGCUGACUGUCUGAGACUCCUUCAUCUGGGUGCUGCAGCUCAUUUCCUGAUCAAUGGGACCUCAUUGCAAGAACAAGGGAAGCUGGAAGUGAGUCUCUUGUGACUGUGUGAAGAUAGCCUUGCACUUUUUUUUUCCAGCAUUUUCGUUGCUAUGUCCUCUUAGACAAGCAGAAUAUAGCAACUCCACGAUGUGUGAGAGAGUUACAGUGGGGUGAAAGCUGCAGGGAUGGUGGCCCCUGCUGCAGCCAUGAAGGAGAUAG
rnacentral:lncRNA from 1 species